rnacentral:rRNA from 1 species
AACGAACGCUGGCGGCGCGCCUAAUACAUGCAAGUCGAGCGAGAAGACGUAGCAAUACGUUUGUAAAGCGGCGAACGGGUGAGGAAUACAUGGGUAACCUACCCUCGAGUGGGGAAUAACUAGCCGAAGGUUAGCUAAUACCGCGUACGCUCCUUGGACUUCGGUUCAGGGAGGAAAGCGAUACCGUGGGUAUCGCGCUCUUGGAUGGGCUCAUGUCCUAUCAGCUUGUUGGUGAGGAACGGCUCACCAAGGCUUCGACGGGUAGCUGGUCUGAGAGGACGAUCAGCCACACUGGCACUGCGACACGGGCCAGACUCCUACGGGAGGCAGCAGUAAGGAAUAUUGCGCAAUGGGCGAAAGCCUGACGCAGCGACGCCGCGUGAGGGAUGACGGCC